rnacentral:rRNA from 1 species
CCUACGGGAGACAGCAGUGAGGAAUAUUGGUCAAUGGCCGAGAGGCUGAACCAGCCAAGUCGCGUGAGGGAAGACGGCCCUACGGGUUGUAAACCUCUUUUGUCGGGGAGCAAAGCGAACCACGUGUGCUUCAUUGAGAUUACCCGAAGAAAAAGCAUCGGCUAACUCCGUGCCAGCAGCCGCGGUAAUACGGAGGAUGCGAGCGUUAUCCGGAUUUAUUGGUUUAAAAGGGUGCGCAGGCGGAGGUGGAAGUCAGCGGUAAAAUUGCGGGGCUCAACCCCGUACUGCCGUUGAAACUGCAUGCCUUGAGUGCGCGAGAGGUAUGCGGAAUGCGUGGUGUAGCGGUGAAAUGCAUAGAUAUCACGCAGAACUCCGAUUGCGAAGGCAGCAUACCGGCGCGCAACUGACGCUCAUGCACGAAAGCGUGGGUAUCGAACAGGAUUAGAUACCCUAGUAGUG